GGGUUGUGAGGUUAAGUGACUAAGCGUACACGGUGGAUGCCUAGGCAGUCAGAGGCGAUGAAGGGCGUGCUAAUCUGCGAAAAGCGUCGGUAAGGUGAUAUGAACCGUUAUAACCGGCGAUACCCGAAUGGGGAAACCCAGUGUGUUUCGAC
rnacentral:rRNA from 1 species